rnacentral:sRNA from 1 species
UAAGGGCUGAAAAUCUUAAGGAACCAACCAACCAUUGCUGGAGAAAGAGAUGAUGUUCCAGGUGAAGCUGAAGAAGUUUAGAACGAGGAGCGUGUUGGGAAAUUUACAUGGAAAUUUUAAAGUGUGAAAAUAAAUUGUUGUGAAGUAUUGUAUUUUAAGCAGACUUUUAAUUUGUUAUGGUUUGUAAUUUUAAAACAACUUUUAAUAUUCGGUUUGUAAUCCAAUAAUUACUCUCUAAUACUUUGAUGUAUUUUUUUGGUAAUAAUAUUAAAUGUUGUG